AAUCGAGACAUUUAUGUAGCAGGCAAAACAGUACUCAACGAUCAGUCGUAAAUUUCAUCUGGAGCUCUCAGGUCGGGCCGCACAGGACUGAGAAUCUUUUUAAACAAAUUUACUAUCCAAAUUCUGAGUUUCCUCUUAAAAUUUUUUGUUUUCCCUUUUCGGUUAAAUUUAGUAUUCUCAAAACUAUGUGCGGCGGCUUUGGGUGCGGUCCUUAUGGCUACGGACCUUCGGGCCCCUGUGGUCCCUGGUGCGGACCUUGGUGUGGCCCUUGCGCCUUGUCUCUGGGACCCUGUAGCUACUCUUGCUGUGGUGGACCCAAAGGAUGUGGGCCGAGCGGGCCCGCCUGUUGGCCAUACGGCCUGUACACCUGCUAGGCUUCAGAAGGAUUUAAGGAUCUUCUGGUCUAUUCCCCCGUGUAACCGUUAAUUCCGUCGAGUGCUCUCUUCAAGGGCCAAAAUAAAUCUCAAAAGUA